rnacentral:rRNA from 1 species
AACGAACGCUGGCGGCAUGCCUAACACAUGCAAGUCGAACGAAGGCUUCGGCCUUAGUGGCGCACGGGUGAGUAACGCGUGGGAAUCUGCCUAUCAGUGGGGAAUAACGACGGGAAACUGUCGCUAAUACCGCAUACGCCCUUCGGGGGAAAGAUUUAUCGCUGAUAGAUGAGCCCGCGUACGAUUAGCUAGUUGGUGAGGUAAUGGCUCACCAAGGCUACGAUCGUUAGCUGGUCUGAGAGGAUGAUCAGCCACACUGGGACUGAGACACGGCCCAGACUCCUACGGGAGGCAGCAGUGGGGAAUAUUGGACAAUGGGCGAAAGCCUGAUCCAGCAAUGCCGCGUGAGUGAUGAAGGCCUUAGGGUUGUAAAGCUCUUUCGGGUGGGACGAUGAUGACGGUACCACCAGAAGAAGCCCCGGCUAACUUCGUGCCAGCAGCCGCGGUAAUACG